UGGAGGGAUGGGUGCAAGCCUCGCUGGAUGUCGGCUCUCUGAGCUGGUGAGUAGCUUGUGUGGGAAACCGGCUUAGCAGUCUUGUUCUCUCGAGUGUGGGGGCCAUUAUGUUCGCCCGUGCAGUGUGGUGUUGUUUCCCGCCCUUGGGUUCGACAAUGUUUGCGGGGUCUGGUUGCCUUUCUGGGUGCUUGUAGUGGUAGCCU